GACGAACGCUGGCGGCGUGCCUAAUACAUGCAAGUAGAACGCAGUUGCGAACGGGUGAGUAACGCGUAGGUAACUGCCUCAUAGCGGGGGAUAACUAUUGGAAACGAUAGCUAAUACCGCAUACUGUGAGAUGGACCUGCGGUGGAUUGGCUAGUUGGUGAGGUAAAGGCUCACCAAGGCGACGAUCCAUAGCCGACCUGAGAGGGGGGUCGGCCACACUGGGAAUGGGACACGGCCCAGGCUCCUAAGGGAAGGAGCAGUAGGGGAACUUCGGCAAUGGACGGAAAGCUUGACGGACAACGCCGGCGGGGUGAAGAAGGUUUUCGGAUCGGAAAGCUCUUUUGGUAGAGGAGCGGUAACUAACCAGAAAGCGACGGCUAACUACGUGCCAGCAGCCGCGGUAAUAC
rnacentral:rRNA from 1 species